AACGCGUGAGUAACCUGCCCUUGACUCUGGGAUAAGCGUUGGAAACGACGUCUAAUACCGGAUACGCGCUUCGGAGGCAUCUCCAGGAGCGGGAAAGAAUUUCGGUCAAGGAUGGACUCGCGGCCUAUCAGUUAGUUGGUGAGGUAAUGGCUCACCAAGACGACGACGGGUAGCCGGCCUGAGAGGGUGACCGGCCACACUGGGACUGAGACACGGCCCAGACUCCUACGGGAGGCAGCAGUGGGGAAUAUUGCACAAUGGGCGCAAGCCUGAUGCAGCAACGCCGCGUGAGGGACGACGGCCUUCGGGUUGUAAACCUCUUUUAGUAGGGAAGAAGCGAAAGUGACGGUACCUGCAGAAAAAGCACCGGCUAACUACGUGCCAGCAGCCGCGGUAAUACGUAGGGUGCAAGCGUUAUCCGGAAUUAUUGGGCGUAAAGAGCUCGUAGGCGGUUUGUCGCGUCUGCUGUGAAAACUGGAGGCUCAACCUCCAGCCUGCAGUGGGUACGGGCAAACUAGAGUGCGGUAGGGGAGAUUGGAAUUCCUGGUGUAGCGGUGGAAUGCGCAGAUAUCAGGAGGAACACCGAUGGCGAAGGCAGAUCUCUGGGCCGUAACUGACGCUGAGGAGCGA
rnacentral:rRNA from 1 species